rnacentral:rRNA from 1 species
UACAGAGGUCUCAAGCGUUGUUCGGAUUCAUUGGGCGUAAAGGGUGCGUAGGUGGCGCUGUAAGUCAGGUGUGAAAUUUCGGAGCUUAACUCCGAAACUGCAUUUGAUACUGCGGUGCUUGAGGACUGGAGAGGAGACUGGAAUUUACGGUGUAGCAGUGAAAUGCGUAGAGAUCGUAAGGAAGACCAGUGGCGAAGGCGGGUCUCUGGACAGUUCCUGACGCUGAAGCACGAAGGCCAGGGGAGCAAACGGG